UUUACUUAGCGCAAUUCCGAUUGCAGUUUUGGAGGUGGUGGACUGUUCGUUCUGCUGGAUGUGGAUUGGAUCUUGCUGUUAAAGGAAUGCUGCUAUGUAGAGCCGGAGCUGACGCGUAUGUGUCCAGCCAAAAACUACAGAAGCUCACGCCGUAAUGCACUGACUGGUUGAAAGGACAGCUGUGGAGGAAAAAAGAGCUGUAGGAAUGGAAUGUUCAACAAGGACUUCGUUGGCUUAAACGAUAGUUGGUUCAACUGCAGUUUGUUCAGUCACAAGUGGCUGGGUUCAUACAAUAUGUUCAGCUAUGGACAUAGUUACAAACUCAAUAGAUACCUUGGGAGCAAUCCUAAUAUUCCUCUGUAGAGAAAGGCUUCUGAGAUUCCCAACAUGUUUACAUGGCAAUGCCAGAUAAUUUGAAAUGCAAAAAGCGGGGAGAAGGAUGGACCUCAAAUAUAUUCAAUAUAAUAGAUAACUAGGGAGCUGGUCUUUUGGAUCUACCUAUGUGAUGCCCAGAACUUCAGAAUGCUGCCUUCCCACACUCCUUUCAGAUAGUAAUGAUCAAGCUUUCAUGGUAUGAGCUGA